CAGCAGCCGCGGUAAUACGAAGGUCCCGAGCGUUGUUCGGAAUCACUGGGCGUAAAGGGAGCGUAGGCGGCGUGGUAAGUCAGAUGUGAAAUCCCGGGGCUCAACCCCGGAACUGCAUCCGAUACUGCCAUGCUAGAGGAUCGGAGAGGUAGCUGGAAUUCUUGGUGUAGCAGUGAAAUGCGUGGAGAUCAAGAGGAACACUCGUGGCGAAAGCGUGCUACUGGACAAUAACUGACGCUGAGGCUCGAAGGCCAGGGUAGCGAAAGGGAUUAGAUACCCCUGUAGUCCCUGUCUCUUAUAC
rnacentral:rRNA from 1 species